rnacentral:rRNA from 1 species
AGAGCACUGUUUCGGCAAGGGGGUCAUCCCGACUUACCAACCCGAUGCAAACUGCGAAUACCGGAGAAUGUUAUCACGGGAGACACACGGCGGGUGCUAACGUCCGUCGUGAAGAGGGAAACAACCCAGACCGCCAGCUAAGGUCCCAAAGUCAUGGUUAAGUGGGAAACGAUGUGGGAAGGCCCAGACAGCCAGGAUGUUGGCUUAGAAGCAGCCAUCAUUUAAAGAAAGCGUAAUAGCUCACUGGUCGAGUCGGCCUGCGCGGAAGAUGUAACGGGGCUAAACCAUGCACCGAAGCUGCGGCAGCGACGCUUAUGCGUUGUUGGGUAGGGGAGCGUUCUGUAAGCCUGUGAAGGUGUACUGUGAGGUAUGCUGGAGGUAUCAGAAGUGCGAAUGCUGACAUAAGUAACGAUAAAGCGGGUGAAAAGCCCGCUCGCCGGAAGACCAAGGGUUCCUGUCCAACGUUAAUCGGGGCAGGGUGAGUCGACCCCUAAGGCGAGGCCGAAAGGCGUAGUCGAUGGGAAACAGGUUAAUAUUCCUGUACUUGGUGUUACUGCGAAGGGGGGACGGAGAAGGCUAUGUUGGCCGGGCGACGGUUGUCCCGGUUUAAGCGUGUAGGCUGGUUUUCCAGGCAAAUCCGGAAAAUCAAGGCUGAGGCGUGAUGACGAGGCACUACGGUGCUGAAGCAACAAAUGCCCUGCUUCCAGGAAAAGCCUCUAAGCAUCAGGUAACAUCAAAUCGUACCCCAAACCGACACAGGUGGUCAGGUAGAGAAUACCAAGGCGCUUGAGAGAACUCGGGUGAAGGAACUAGGCAAAAUGGUGCCGUAACUUCGGGAGAAGGCACGCUGAUAUGUAGGUGAAGUCCCUCGCGGAUGGAGCUGAAAUCAGUCGAAGAUACCAGCUGGCUGCAACUGUUUAUUAAAAACACAGCACUGUGCAAACACGAAAGUGGACGUAUACGGUGUGACGCCUGCCCGGUGCCGGAAGGUUAAUUGAUGGGGUCAGCGCAAGCGAAGCUCUUGAUCGAAGCCCCGGUAAACGGCGGCCGUAACUAUAACGGUCCUAAGGUAGCGAAAUUCCUUGUCGGGUAAGUUCCGACCUGCACGAAUGGCGUAAUGAUGGCCAGGCUGUCUCCACCCGAGACUCAGUGAAAUUGAACUCGCUGUGAAGAUGCAGUGUACCCGCGGCAAGACGGAAAGACCCCGUGAACCUUUACUAUAGCUUGACACUGAACAUUGAGCCUUGAUGUGUAGGAUAGGUGGGAGGCUUUGAAGUGUGGACGCCAGUCUGCAUGGAGCCGACCUUGAAAUACCACCCUUUAAUGUUUGAUGUUCUAACGUUGACCCGUAAUCCGGGUUGCGGACAGUGUCUGGUGGGUAGUUUGACUGGGGCGGUCUCCUCCUAAAGAGUAACGGAGGAGCACGAAGGUUGGCUAAUCCUGGUCGGACAUCAGGAGGUUAGUGCAAUGGCAUAAGCCAGCUUGACUGCGAGCGUGACGGCGCGAGCAGGUGCGAAAGCAGGUCAUAGUGAUCCGGUGGUUCUGAAUGGAAGGGCCAUCGCUCAACGGAUAAAAGGUACUCCGGGGAUAACAGGCUGAUACCGCCCAAGAGUUCAUAUCGACGGCGGUGUUUGGCACCUCGAUGUCGGCUCAUCACAUCCUGGGGCUGAAGUAGGUCCCAAGGGUAUGGCUGUUCGCCAUUUAAAGUGGUACGCGAGCUGGGUUUAGAACGUCGUGAGACAGUUCGGUCCCUAUCUGCCGUGGGCGCUGGAGAACUGAGGGGGGCUGCUCCUAGUACGAGAGGACCGGAG